GGGAGUUCUGAUCCCUGGCUCAGAUUGAAACGCUGGCGGAUGCUUUACACAUGCAAGUCGAGAACGGCAGCACGGACUUCGGUCUGCGCGUCGAGUGGCGAACGGGUGAGUAAUGUAUCGGAACGUGCCUAGUGAAGGGGAUAACUACGCGAAAGCGUAGCUACUACUGCAUACGCCUUCUUUGUGUUGGGACCUUCGGGCCUCGCACUAUUAGAGCGGCCGAUAUCGGAUUAGCUAUUGGUGGGGUAACGGCUCACCAAGGCGACGAUCCGUAGCUGGUUUGAGAGGACGACCAGCCACACUGGGACUGGAGACACGGCCCGUGAGCUCCUACGGGAGGCAGCAGUGGGGAAUUUUGGACAAUGGGGAAACCUGAUCCAGCCAUCCCGCGUGUGCGAUGAAGGCUUCGGGUUGUAAAGCACUUUUGGCAGGAAAAGAAACGGCACGGGAUAAUACCCCGUGCAACUGACGGCCUGUGAGAAUGGGCGACCACCUACACCAUGUGCCAGCAGCCGCGGUACAGCGGUGGUGCAAGCGUUAAUCGGAAUUAUCAUGCAAGCGUGCGCAGGCGGUUCGAAAAGAAAGAUGUGAAAUCCCAGAGCUUAACUUUGAACUGCAUUUUUAACUACCGAGCUAGAGUGUGUCAGAGGGAGGUGGAAUUCCCGCGUAGCAGUGAAAUGCGUAGAGUAUGCGGAGGAACACCGAUGGCGAAGGCAGCCCAGACAACACUGACGCUCAUGCACGAAAGCGUGGGGAGCGUCAGGAUUAGAUAAUUCGGUAGUCCACGCCCAAACGAUGUCAACUAGCCUGUUGGGGCCUUCGCCCCGGUAGCGCAGCUAACGCGUGAAGCUUGACCGCCUGGGAGUACGGUCGCAAGAUUAAAACUCAAAGGAAUUGACGGGACCCGCACAAGCGGUGGAUGAUGUGGAUUAAUUGAUGCAACGCGAAAAACCUUACCUACCCUUGACAUGUCUGGAACUCGAAGAGAUUUGGGAGUGCUCGCAAGAGAACCGAACACAGGUGCUGCAUGGCUGUCGUCAGCUCGUGUCGAGAUGUUGGGUUAAGUCCCGCAACGAGCGCAACCCUUGUCAUUAGUUGCUACGAUAGCACCUGAACGAGACUGCCGGUGACAAACCGGGAGGAAGGUGGGGAUGACGCUGGUCCUCAUGGCCCUAUGGGUAGCUUCACACGUCAUACAAUGGUCGGGACAGAGGGUCACAACCACGAGGGGGAGCCAACCCCAGAAACCCGAUCGUGUCCGGAUCGCAGUCUGCAACUCGACUGCGUGAAGUCGGAAUCGCUAGUAAUCGCGGAUCAGCAUGUCGCGGUGAAUACGUUCCCGGGCCUUGUACACACCCUCGCCCGUCACACCAUGGGAGUGGGUUUUACCAGAAGUAGUUAGCCUAACCGUAAGGAGGGCGAUUACCACGGUAGGAUUCAUGACUGGGCGAAGUCGUAACAAGGCAGCUC
rnacentral:rRNA from 1 species